ACCCUGCUAUGUGCGUGUUAAACCGGCGUUUUGAGCCAACACCAUUACAAAGGGAGUCUGGACUCUGGCUGUGAUGAAUAAGCCUUCUUAGAAAGGACAUUCAAAGCAGUCAGGAGGGCACCCACCUGGGAGACCGGGACUCAAAAACGGCUGGCUCACGGCAUAGUGGGGUUU
rnacentral:other from 1 species